GACGAACGCUGGCGGCGUGCUUAACACAUGCAAGUCGAACGGAGAAGCGCCUUCCUUUCUGGUGGGUGUGGAUGAGCGGCGAACGGGUGAGUAACACGUGAGUAACCUUCCCCCUCCUUCUGGAUAACCGCAUGACAGUGCGGCUAAUACGGGAUAUUCUGGUCCGCUGGGUUCAGGGGUUUGGGAAGGUUUUGCUUUCGCUGGGGGUUGGGUCCGCGCCCCAUUGGCUUGUUGGUGGGGUAACGGCCUACCAAGGCGGUGACGGUUGGCCGACCUGAGAGGGUGGGCGGUCAUACUGGGACUGAAACACCGCCCAGACUCCUAGGGGAGGCAGCAGUGGGUAAUAUUGCACAGUGGGCGCAAGGCUGGUGCAGCGACGCCGCGUGAGGGAUGGAGGCCUUCGGGUUGUGAACCUCUUUCGCCAGUGAAGCAAGCCUGCCUCGUUUGUGGGUGGGUUGACGGUAGCUGGAUAAGAAGCGCCGGCUAACUACGUG
rnacentral:rRNA from 1 species